GAUGAACGCUGGCGGCGUGCCUAAUACAUGCAAGUCGAGCGAACAGACGAGGAGCUUGCUCCUCUGACGUUAGCGGCGGACGGGUGAGUAACACGUGGAUAACCUACCUAUAAGACUGGGAUAACUUCGGGAAACCGGAGCUAAUACCGGAUAAUAUAUUGAACCGCAUGGUUCAAUAGUGAAAGACGGUUUUGCUGUCACUUAUAGAUGGAUCCGCGCCGCAUUAGCUAGUUGGUAAGGUAACGGCUUACCAAGGCAACGAUGCGUAGCCGACCUGAGAGGGUGAUCGGCCACACGGGAACUGAGACACGGUCCAGACUCCUACGGGAGGCAGCAGUAGGGAAUCUUCCGGAAUGGGCGAAAGCGUGACGGAGCAACGCCGCGUGAGUGAUGAAGGUCUUCGGAUCGUAAAACUCUGUUAUUAGGGAAGAACAAAUGUGUAAGUAACUAUGCACGUCUUGACGGUACCUAAUCAGAAAGCCACGGCUAACUCCGUG
rnacentral:rRNA from 1 species